rnacentral:rRNA from 1 species
UACAGAGGGGGCAAGCGUUGUUCGGAAUUACUGGGCGUAAAGGGCGCGUAGGCGGCCUUCUAAGUCAGACGUGAAAUCCCUCGGCUCAACCGGGGAACUGCGUCUGAGACUGGAAGGCUUGAAUCCGGGAGAGGGAUGUGGAAUUCCAGGUGUAGCGGUGAAAUGCGUAGAUAUCUGGAGGAACGCCGGUGGCGAAGGCGGCAUCCUGGACCGGUAUUGACGCUGAGGCGCGAAAGCCAGGGGAGCAAACGGG